ACCAGCCUGCAAAGAAGAGCAGAGUCCUCAUGGGGCACCAAGUAUUUGGAUGAAUCUUGACUGUUCAGCUCCGAGGGAGGACGAUAUGGGCAAAUUUCAGAGGCAGUAUCCUGCCCCAGGUUGGGUACCACGGAUGAUGCAAGAGGACGAAGCUGAAGUCUGAACUCUUAAGUACCUGCUCACAGUAAAACUGCUAAGUGGUAGAGAGAAUAUACGCCAGGCAGCCGGGGAUCAAAGAGGUGGUGCCCCCUAGCAGGUGCUUACAAGAUAACGAGGGACCGCAGGAAGGGUGGAAACCAGUCUGCUGACAGACAGACUGACUUAAAAGAAGAAACUGAGGCUGGGCCCUGGUCGAGCUGCUGAGUCAAGUAGUAAUAUGCACAGUUUAUGUAAAAACUGAUGACACUGUCUUGCUUUUAAAAACUUUGUCUCUAAUACAGGACAAAAAGACUUCAGGGUGGUUUUAUAAGGAACAAGUAAAGCACGACCUCCUUUCAGAUAAUCGCAAGCAAACAUUUAAAUCUUUGAUAUCUCUUUGUUGGGUAAGAUUUUUAAAAUUCAGGCUCAACUAGAAUUUCCAAAGUACAAAGGCAAUUGAAAGCUAAACAAUGUCUUAAGGAUGGAAGAGCUGUUCUCCAAGAGUAACCUAAAACGAUCCAUUUGCGUCUCCACGUGCCAUACCCAGACAUGUCAGAUUCAUCUUUGGCUUACCAGGACAUUUUCACAUGGCCCUAACUGCUCUCUGCAGUCCUUCAAGUCAGAUCUCCCAGCCAUGGACCGUCUCUGGCAUUUGAGUGGCCGGUUUUAGCGGCAGCCUCACCCUGCAGCCAGUUUCUAGAAGUCCAGGUGAAAUCUUUCACUCCUGUAGCAUGCUGCCUGGAUGCUAAUGGCAUCCCUUCGACAAGGCAGCCCCUCACAGGGGCUCCAGAGGACAGAGCAAGACAGUCCUUAUUGCCUCACUGAAAGGAGCCGCUUCUUGAAAUGGCUUCAAUUGAAUCAGUCCCACCCCCUCUGAGAUGCCAUUAAAACCACACGACAUUACCCAGGGCUUCCGAGAGCCAUGCCAAGGAGCUCCCUCCUAUCAUGAGGCAGAAAGCACUGCAUCUCUAAAGCAGGGAGGAGACUCACUCCACAUAAAAUGGAACUCUAAGAACAAGAAAACCCCGGGCCUAGACAUACCCAUUAUUAAAUUUAGAUAUCAAGUCCAAGGCUCACACACAGACAGCUGUUAUCUCCAGGGACGAGGUAAGGCAAUCAACACGAAUUCACAAUCCACACCACACCCAGCUUACUGAGAUUUCCCUUUGCCCAAAGUGCCACAGUCAGCAAUGCCGCUAAUGGGGACCUGGGGCAGAUCAACUUCUAAGGCGCUCCUGACCCCUCCCUUCCUUUAAACAACAUUCACCAAGUCCCUGCCUCUGCAGGAGUCCUGUGCCAGGCUGGGGCUGCCAAUUCAUGAGACCUAGUCUGGUCCAGAAUCCUGAAGUUAACCUUAAGUGGAUCAACUACCUGUUUCCUUGGAAAAAAGACCCACACCCCAUCACCUGCUCUCCUGUUUUACUGGAGGCUGGACCCAAAUGCCAUCCAAAUUCCAUUAUGGACGCAGGAAGCCAAGGACGCCACUUGCCACAGCGUUGCUCCGUGCCAGCUGCAGCUGUCUGGGCUUCAUUUUAAUGAAGGCAGACAAAGGGGGCUCUCGGCCUUGAACAUUCCUCUUGCAAGGCCCAGAGGGAAAAAUGACAUUAGUAAAACAUUCCUCCUUUGUCCUUUUACCAAGGGUGAGCUUCUGUAUUUUCCACCAAACACUGUCUCAUUAAUAAUGCAAUGACUUAAGAUCUUUAACAAGCAAACAGAUAUAACACAGUAUGGCUUAGAGGUACAUGCUAAGAAAAAAAAAGUUUAACUACAUCCUUGACAGCAAAUGUUGAAAAACAAGUGGAAUUUAGAUAGAACUUGCUCUAGCAGCACAAAACAAACAAACACACACCCCAGUGAAUAGAGACAUAGAGGAGCAGUAUUUCUCUACAUGCUGCUACCUUGCCUUGGAUAUAGAAAAGUAAAUUGUAUUAAUUGUAGGGCAAUUCCAAAAAAAUAUUUAUUGGGAACCUGCUACAUACAAAGUGAGAAAAGGACAAAACUGAAGCUGAGUGUGGGGAUUAGUAAUAAAACUGUGAAGAACUGAUUGGAGAGAAGAAUCGUUAGGAGGCUUUGAGGGUGGUUCAAAAGAUAAAGGAUGUCUGGGUUGCCCUGGGAAGGAGGUAGUGGGAUGGAAACAUGUGGGAAGAUGCAACAGCGUUUCAUACAGGAAGAACCAGUCCAGGAUGGAUCUGUUCAGAUCUAGAAGCAUCAGAAAUGACACCAAGUCUCCAGACUGGGUAACUUGAAAUGGUGUCAAGGGUACCAUUUACAGAAAUGUGUGUGUCAGGGAAAGCAGACUGUACUGAUGAUGACUGGUUCCAGACAGGCUGCAUUUCUGAAGGGGAAGUGAAGAGGAAAGGUUACGUGUGGGAGAAAAACUAAGAGCACACAGAUAACAGCUUGAGAACAUCUCAAAAAGGGGGUUAGCGUCAGAGAGCUGGGCAGCUAACAAAAUUAAAUGAUAUUAGAGGUAAAGAAAGCAGCGGAAGACUGGACUGCUGGGUGUGGUACCUAGGAAGCCACUGCUCAUCUUCUGAUGGAGCGCCCUCAACUGGGUGGCAGAGGAAGAUGCCAUACUGAAGACGGUCAAGGAGUAACUCAAUAUAGGGCGUCAGCUGCUCAAGCCAAAAACCCAAAGCAUCACCGAUUCCUCUCUUUCACUCACAGCCACCCCAACUCAUCCUGUCCUUCAGUUGGUCCUGUUGUCUCCACCUCCACAAUGUUAGGUUUCCAUCUCCUCGCACAGACCACAGUCCAUCCCAACAUCAAGACUCCCCUGGACUGGGACUUCCCUGGUGGCGCGGUGGUUGAGAAUCCACCUGCCAAUGCAAGGGACACGGGUUCAAGCCCUGGUCCAGGA